UGAACGCUAGCUACAGGCUUAACACAUGCAAGUCGUGGGGCAGCAUGACGAUUGCUGCAAUUGUUGAUGGCGACCGGCGCACGGGUGAGUAACGCGUAUCCAACCUUCCCCAUAGUAGGGUAUAGCCCGGCGAAAGUCGGAUUAAUCCCCUAUGUUGUUUGAAGCGGACAUCUAAUUCAAACCAAAGAUUCAUCGCUAUGGGAUGGGGAUGCGUCUGAUUAGGUUGCAGGCGGGGUAACGGCCCACCUGGCCGACGAUCAGUAGGGGUUCUGAGAGGAAGGUCCCCCACACUGGUACUGAGACACGGACCAGACUCCUACGGGAGGCAGCAGUGAGGAAUAUUGGUCAAUGGGCGCGAGCCUGAACCAGCCAAGUAGCGUGCAGGAUGACGGCCCUACGGGUUGUAAACUGCUUUUAUGCGGGGAUAAAGUGCGGCACGUGUGCCGUUUUGCAGGUACCGCGUGAAUAAGGACCGGCUAAUUCCGUGCCAGCAGCCGC
rnacentral:rRNA from 1 species